GGGCGUCUUGGUGUAGUUUGGUUAUCACACAUGCGCUUAAGCAUGCGCGGAGUUCCCGGUUCGAUUUUCCGGUGUCGGUCCA
rnacentral:tRNA from 1 species